CAAUAGCGUAUAUUAAAGUUGUUGCAGUUAAAAAGCUCGUAGUUGGACCUUGGACCUGGACAGGCGGUCCGCCUCACGGCGUGUACUGUCUUGCUGGGUCUUUCCUCUUGGUGAUCUGUUGUUUCGGCAGCAGGGAACCAGGACUUUUACUUUGAAAAAAUUAGAGUGCUCAAAGCAGGCUCGACGCCGGAAUAUAUUAGCAUGGAAUAAUAAAAUAGGACGUGCGGUUCUAUUUUGUUGGUUUUUGGAAUCGCCGUAAUGAUUAAUAGGGACAGUCGGGGGCAUUAGUACUCACAUGCUAGAGGUGAAAUUCUUGGAUUUUGUGAAGACUAACUUCUGCGAAAGCAUUUGCCAAGGAUGUUUUCAUUAA
rnacentral:rRNA from 1 species